rnacentral:tRNA from 1 species
GGAAUGUAGCUCAGUCGGCAGAGCAUCUGCCUGUUAAGCAGAGGGCCGCAGGUUCGAGCCCUGCCAUUCCC